CCUAGAGCCCACACGUUGGGACCCGAAAGAUGGUGAACUAUGCCCGGCCAGGAUGAAGCCAGAGGAAACUCUGGUGGAGGUCCGCCGCGAUUCUGACGUGCAAAUCGAUCGUCUGAGCUGGGUAUAGGGGCGAAAGACCAAUCGAACCAUCUAGUAGCUGGUUCCGCCCGAAGUUUCCCUCAGGAUAGCUGGCGCUCGUGUGAUACGGAGUUUCAUCCGGUAAAGCGAAUGAUCAGAGGAGCUGGGCUCCUUGCGAGCUCAACCUAUUCUCAAACUUUCAAUGGGUGAGACGUCUCGCUGGCUUCACUGCAGCGACGACUCUGAAUCCGAGUGCCCAGUGGGCCACUUUUGGUAAGCAGAACUGGCGAUGCGGGAUGAACCGCAUGUCGAGUUAAGGUGCCCAAGCGGACGCAAAUCAGAUACCAUGAAAGGUGUUGAUUGCUCACGACAGCAGGACGGUGGCCAUGGAAGUCGGCAUCCGCUAAGGAGUGUGUAACAACUCACCUGCCGAAGCAAUCAGCCCUGAAAAUGGAUGGCGCUAAAGCGUCCCACCGAUACUCGACCGUCGUCGGCACGCGAUCGGCUGUCGCAGCAAUUGCGAUCCGAUCUGACGCCACGACGAGUAGGGCGGCGCGGCGGUGAGCUUUGAAGGCGUAGCCGUGAGGCUAGCUGGAGCCGCCGUCGGUGCAGAUCUUGGUGGUAGUAGCAAAUACACAAGCAAGAUCCUUGUGGACCGAUGUGGAGAAGGGUUCCGCGCGAACAGUAUUUGGACGUGGGUGAGUCGGCCCUAAGCCAACGGGUAAUUCCCGCAUCCCGU
rnacentral:rRNA from 1 species